rnacentral:lncRNA from 1 species
UUUCAUAUACUAUAAUAGCUUUAGUGAUUUAUAUGACCACACAAUGUUGGCUAAAACAGUACAAAUUGGCUUUUUAAAAGAGGAACAAAUGAUCGUCAAUGGUGCACUAAACCAUGAGAGUGUGGCGCCUUCUGUGUUGUGGACUUGGCAUGGGCUGGCUUCUGUGAGUGCCACUGUAACGUUUGUUAUUUUGCCUAACUUUCUGAAGUUAAACCAUCCUUUCACAAAGUUCCAUCUUCUUGUUGAAACAAAGGUUCACUGCUGUGUUCUUGCUGCCAUUCCGCGGUAUAUUGGAGUGUUUCAUCCUAAUAUAUGUCUGGUUACAUGACCACAAAGAGAAAGAAGGGUAUGAUGUGUAAGUUACCUUUCUGAUACAACCACAAUACUAUGUCGCUAUUAUUAUUCGAGUUCAGAGAUUUGAGACUCUAGACUUUAUGGUCCGUUAAAUCAGUUUUAUUAAAUUAACUGAAAAAAUAGAUUAGCUCACAAGUAUCUCUACUCAGUAUCUCAGGUUCUGCUUGCAGCUAAUUUUUCUUGUAAUGGCAUCAGCUAAAAUAUUGGUAUGAUCGAAUUGAGAGAAGUUCUUUCAACAUAGAAAUGUAUUUUCACUGUAAGACAGUAAUUGUUAGAAUCACAAAUUACAAGAUGUCAUGAUACCUGACGAAACUGCUAUUGAAAUUCGUACACUAAUGCAGCAUAUUCUUUUGAUUAGAAGCAAACGUGGACACUCAAGAAGAAGCUGAAAAAUCAGUAUUGGAACCCAGCGAGGAAAUCUGAAAGCAUAGACCAUGUUUAAGAACUGGUUGUUUUUGUUGUGCUAUUUUUAAGAAAAAGGAUUGUCUCGAAGGAAAUGAAGCUUACCAACAAGGAAAUUAUGGUGAGGAGCACUCUUCUGCCCCCUUGGUAAUACAGAGGUACUCAACUCCAACCCUAUCCAAGAAGCGGAAUAUAUCAUACUCUAGAGUUUGGACUUUAGACAUAUUUUAUCCUUUUAUUAUACUCAUGGUCGUUUUGGAAAACAGAUGCAAUGCAAAGCGAGGAAAUCUGAAAGCAUAGACCAUGUUUAAGAACUGGUUGUUUUUGUUGUGCUAUUUUUAAGAAAAAGGAUUGUCUCGAAGGAAAUGAAGCUUACCAACAAGGAAAUUAUGGUGAGGAGGCACUCUUCUGCCCCCUUGGUAAUACAGAGGUACUCAACUCCAACCCUAUACAAGAAGCGGAAUAUAUCAUACUCUAGAGUUUGGACUUUAGACAUAUUUUAUCCUUUUAUUAUACUCAUGGUCGUUUUGGAAAACAGAUGCAAUGCAAAUGUUAUGUAUUGUGCUUUUGCUUGUUCAAGGGACCUCCUAAUGACACACGAUGGAAACGGAUCCGUGGAUUAAUUCAGAUGGCAUUAAUUGGAGAGAAGGGAUCUAGCUAGGUUUGCAAUGGCAUGUGUACUACCAAAAAGUAACAUCCUCAGGUUCUCUCCUGCAAAUCUAAAGAUCAUGUUCGCAGAGCUAAUAAAUGUAUAUGGAUUAAAAUAAAGAUGAUUUGUAUUCACCGAUAUAUAUGUAUUUCCAUCAAGAAAUAAGUUUGGAAGAGUAGUAAGUACCACGGCAUUUUCUUUCAGAAUGCAAUGGUGUUUAUUUGAUAAUGUGUUUAUAUGACAUGCAUAUGUUGCUUUAAUUUGCUCGUCCGCGAACCCCUCAAAAUUAUCUGACAAUCUGCUUAUACAAACAGCUUUGAGUUUGGUGCACUCUAUUGCUUUGUUAGGCUUGGUGGUGUAUCAGAUUCAGGAGAAUAAUAGUCCCUCUGUCAUCAUAUUUUUGUUUGUGGUAAUGCAUGACAUUCAACUGUAUGUAAUAUGGCAAUGACUCAAGAGACAUCGGAUCUGCCUUCUUGGCUUAGGGCAUCAGGGGUGGCACACACGUCCCACUUGGUGGCGGUGGCAGAUCGGCAAGAACAAGGGUGGGGUUGUAUUAAGGAGGAGAGCGGGGCGGUUGGCGAGGGACUGGCGAGGGACUCCUCCUUGGCGGUCCGUGGGGAAGUAAGGUGAGGUGGGUCUCAUUACUAGAGCCAUAUGACCAAAAAGAUGAUAGGAAAGGCUCUUUCCAAGCAUACAAGCAUAAGGUCAAGUUUAUUUCAUCAUCGAUCCAAAUAUUGUUCCAUAGAAUAAUUGUGUCACCAGCUCUAGGAAUGCAAGUUGUAACCCCUUUGUAUAUGUCCAUGAACGAGAACACAUCGUUCUGUAUAUCUUUCCGUAAAAGAACUGUGCAAAAAUUUCUUAAGCGCAACAACUAGAUAUUAAUUUGUAAUAGAAUUUUAGUUGGAUCAUUGCUCUAUAUGUACACAUCAUUAAUUUAUCAUUUUUUAUCAAUUUACAUUGCAAGUGAAUUGGACUAUAAUAAAUACCCAAUUGUGC